rnacentral:rRNA from 1 species
CUACGGGGGGCACCAGCCGCGAAAACUUUACAAUGCGCGAAAGUGUGAUAAGGGAAUCCAAAGUGCUCAUGUUUUUACAUGGGCUUUUGCCAAGAGUAAAUAUCUUGGAGAAUAAGUGAUGGGUAAGACUGGUGCCAGCAGCCGCGGUAACACCAGCGUCACGAGUGGGAAUCGUAUUUAUUUGGCCUAAAGCGUCCGUAGCCGGUUUGGUAAAUUCAUUGUGAAAUCAUUGUGCUCAACGCAAUGGCGUGCAGUGAACACUGCCAGGCUUGAGACUGGAAGGAGUCAGAAGUAUUCUUGGGGGAGCGGUAAAAUGCUAUAAUCCCAAGAGGACUACCUGUGGCGAAGGCGUCUGACUAGUACAGUUCUGACGGUGAGGGACGAAAGCUAGGGGAGCGAUCCGGAUUAGAUACCCGGGUAGUC